CGCAACGGGAGGAGCGUGCGGUUUAAUUGGAUUCAACACCGGAAAACUCACCAAGGGCGACUGUUACAUGAAGGCCAGGCCGACGACCUUGCCGGAUUUUCAGAGAGGUGGUGCAUGGCCGUCGUCAGUUCGUACCGUAAGGCGUUCUCUUAAGUGAGAUAACGAACGAGACCCUCACCGAUAAUUGCUACUUCUUCCUCCGGGGAGGAGGCACAUUAUCGGGACCGCUGGCGCUAAGCCAGAGGAAGGAGAGGUCAACGGUAGGUCAGUAUGCCCCGAAUCUCUUGGGCUACACGCGCGCUACAAAGGGCGGGACAAUGGGCUCCGACGCCGAGAGGCGGAGGCAAUCCCGAAACCCGUCCGUAGUUCGGAUUGAGGGCUGUAACCCGCCCUCAUGAAGCUGGAUUCCGUAGUAAUCGCGAAUCAACAACUCGCGGUGAAUAUGCCCCU
rnacentral:rRNA from 1 species